GAUGAACGCUGGCGGCGUGCCUAAUACAUGCAAGUCGAGCGAACAGACGAGGAGCUUGCUCCUCUGACGUUAGCGGCGGACGGGUGAGUAACACGUGGAUAACCUACCUAUAAGACUGGGAUAACUUCGGGAAACCGGAGCUAAUACCGGAUAAUAUAUUGAACCGCAUGGUUCAAUGGUGAAAGACGGUUUUGCUGUCACUUAUAGAUGGAUCCGCGCCGCAUUAGCUAGUUGGUAAGGUAACGGCUUACCAAGGCGACGAUGCGUAGCCGACCUGAGAGGGUGAUCGGCCACACUGGAACUGAGACACGGUCCAGACUCCUACGGGAGGCAGCAGUAGGGAAUCUUCCGCAAUGGGCGAAAGCCUGACGGAGCAACGCCGCGUGAGUGAUGAAGGUCUUCGGAUCGUAAAACUCUGUUAUUAGGGAAGAACAAAUGUGGAAGUAACUAUGCACGUCUUGACGGUACCUAAACAGAAAGCCACGGCUAACUACGUG
rnacentral:rRNA from 1 species